GGUUGGGAGGCCCAACCCAUUUUCUCUCUUUCUCUUCUUCUCUCUUUUCCCUUCCUCCUCUCUCCCGUGCUCUCCUCCCACUGCCGGACUGUCCAGCCGCCAAUUGCCGCUGUCCGGCCAGCCACCGGCCGCCGCUCCACCCCAGUUCGGACCCCCACCUCCUCCUCUCCCUCCCCGGCCUAGCCCCCGAGCCUCUAACCCGCCGGAAGAGGAGAAAACCCGCCGGAAACGCCGGGAAGCAUUUCGCCGGAACUCCCUCCUCCAGCCACCAAUCCGGGCAAGCUUGGUAUGGUUUGUAGCCCUCCAACCCAGCAACCUUGCCCUAAAAGGACUCACUCCCUCUUGAGCUAGGUAAGGAGAAAUUUGAGGUGGAAGUUUUAUGGUGUUUUUGAUGUUUUUAGUCGAUUGCCCUAGUUAGGCUUGUAAUUGGUGUUUGUGCUAGUUAUGAAAGUUGUAGAGCAUGAUGAGAGGAAGAUGCUGUUAAAAUUUCAUAGGAAUUGGAGGUCGCCGAAACUGGUCUCCGGCCGCCGCUGCCGGCGGCGCCGCCGGUUGGCAGAUUUUAAUGUUGUUAAAUUUGGAAUAUUAAGGGGAGUUUAUUGAAAUGAGUUAUGGAAUUUUUGGAUGAGUUUUGGAUAGGUUUAUGAAUUUCCGAAGUUAGUAUUUUUGGCGGUUAAUUAAUGUAGAAUCCGGCCGUAGGAUUUAAGUCGUAUUUUGGAGAGAUUGUAUUUACGACUGUUGAGUAUGAUAUUUAAGUUCGGAUUGUUCCAAUUUAAGAUUAUCGAAGUUAGGCAAUGAUGAGCGUAUUUAUGGCUCUCGGGUAAUUUUGCCUAUUUUGAUUAAAUAUUGGAAUUUCGGCUGGGAACUUAAUAUUAUAUUUGGAACAGGUCGUGAGGAGGCUCGAGCUGACGAGGCCCCAGAUCGACAUCAGGCUUAGGCCUAAUUUGUGAGUGGACUUUUGUUUUAAAUAAUGUGCGUGCGAAAUAAUUUAUGUUGUUGGAGAAUAACCGAAAUUGAGAAUUUCGGUGAGUGUAUAUAUAUAUAUCCAUAUGUGGAUGAUUAUGAGAAUAAUAUGUAUAUGAGAGAAUGCUAGCUAGCUAUACGUGCUUUUCCACCAUAUUGAGGUAAAAUUCCAUUAUGGUGCAACGUGAGCGUUAGACGCAAUCGUUGUAGCCCUAUAUAAAAUUAAUAAUUUAUAUAGGGGAUAUGCGCGUAUAUUUAUACACCGUCUUUUCCAC
rnacentral:lncRNA from 1 species